CUCCUGGCUGUCCAGUGGUUAGGACUUGGCGUUUUCACUGCUGGAGCCCAGGUUCAAUCCCUGGUCAGGGAG
rfam:Ovis aries breed Texel chromosome 2, whole genome shotgun sequence.